CAGGUAACUGCACCGACAGAGGCAAUUCUACGGCAAUUGAAAGUGGCCUCUAUAUCUCGCCCGUAGGGAGAAAUGUUGCCGCAUGGAACACAAUAGAGCCCGCCAGGGGUAUUGGCUACAGCAUCGGAGAUGGUGUAGGUACUCUACCUAUGAAAGGAGCAAAGUGGCUGGGAA